rnacentral:misc_RNA from 1 species
CCGAGUUUACAACUCCCAAACCCAUGUGAACAUACCUUACAGUUGCUUCGGCGGAGCCGCCCCGGCGCCCGGAACCCAGUUUCGCGGCCCGGACCAAGGCGCCCGCCGGAGGCCACAAACUCUUCUGUUUUUACAGUAUCUUCUGAGUGUGCCGCAAGGCAAAAACAAAUGAAUCAAAACUUUCAACAACGGAUCUCUUGGUUCUGGCAUCGAUGAAGAACGCAGCGAAAUGCGAUAAGUAAUGUGAAUUGCAGAAUUCAGUGAAUCAUCGAAUCUUUGAACGCACAUUGCGCCCGCCAGAAUUCUGGCGGGCAUGCCUGUUCGAGCGUCAUUUCAACCCUCGGUCUCCCUCCGGGAGAGACCGGCGUUGGGGACCGGCACUUACCCCGCCGGCCCCGAAAUGAAGUGGCGGCCCGUCCGCGGCGACCUCUGCGUAGUAACUCCACUCGCACCGGGACCCGGGCGCGGCCACGCCGUAAAACCCCCAACUUCCGAAU